rnacentral:rRNA from 1 species
UACAGAGGUCCCAAGCGUUGUUCGGAUUCACUGGGCGUAAAGGGUGCGCAGGCGGUCAGGUAAGUCUGAUGUGAAAUCUCUGGGCUUAACCCAGAAAUGGCAUUGGAUACUAUUUGGCUUGAGAGUUGGAGGGGGGACUGGAAUUCUUGGUGUAGCAGUGAAAUGCGUAGAUAUCAAGAGGAACACCAGUGGCGAAGGCGAGUCCCUGGACAACUUCUGACGCUGAGGCACGAAAGCUAGGGGAGCAAACAGG